UUCAAUUUGGAUGCCCCAUAUUUUUUUCUUGUUUAAUUGCUCUUUUUAGUACUUCCAGAACUAUGUUGAAUAGAAAUGGUAAAAGUGGGUAUUUUUGUCUUUUCUGGUCUCAGAGACCAGAAUUUCUCAGAGAAAAUGCUUUCAACUUUUCCCAUUCAGUAUGAUGUUGACUGUGGGUUUGUCAUAUAUGGAUUUUAUUAUUUUAAGAUAGGUUCUUUCUAUGUCUAGUUUGUCGAGAGUUUUUUUUUUUCAUAAAGGAGAGCUAAAAUUUGUCAGUCACUUCUGCAUCCAUUGAGAUGAUCAUAUGGUUUUUGUUUUUAAUUCUGAUGAUGUGAUGUAUCACAUUUUUUAACUUGCAUAUAUUAAACCACCUCUGCAUCCCUUGGACAUAACCCACUAGAUGAUUUUGAAUUAUCUUUUUGAUGUACUGCUGGAUUCAGUUAGCUAAUAUUUUGUUGAGGUUGUUUGCCUCUAUGUUCACCACAGAAAUUGGUCUGUAGUUUUCUUUAUUUUAUUUUUUGUGUCAUUCCUGGUUUUAGUAUCAGAGUGACAUUAGCUUCAUAAAAUGGUUUAGGGAUGAUGUCUUCUUUCUCAAUCUUUUGGAAUAGUUUCAGUAGGAUUGCUACUAAUUCUUUAAAUGUCUGGUAGAAUUCACCUGUGAAUUUAUCUGGUCCUGGGCUUUUAUUAAUCGGCAAUUUUUAAAUUACUGGCUCAAGCUUGCUGCCUCUUAUUGAUCUGUUCAAAGUUUCUGUUUAUUCCUGAUUUAAUCUGAGAGGGUUGUAUAUUUCCAGGAAUUUGUCCAUUUACUCUAGGUUUUCUAGUUUGUAUGAAAAAAGGUGUUCCAUAGUGGUCUCAAAUGAUCUUUUGUAUUUCUGUGGUGUUGAUUGUAAUGUCUCCAGUUUCACUUCCAAUUGAGUUUAUUUGGAUCUUCUCUGUUCUUUUCAUUGUUAAUUUAGCUAAUUGUCUAUCACAUUUGUUUAUUUUUUCAAAAAAACAGUUUUUUCUUUCAUGGCUUUUUUGGGUUUUUUUUUAAUUGUUGUUUGAAUUUCAUUUAGUUCUGCUGUGAUCCUUGUUAUUUCUUUUCUUCUUCUAGUUUUGUUUUCAUUUGUUUUUGUUUCUCCAGUUCCUUGAGGAUGACAUUAGGUUGCCAAUUUGUGUUCUUUCAGACUUUUUGAUGUAGGCAUUUAGCACUAUAAACUUUCCUCUUGGCAGUGCUUUUGCUGUAUCCCAAAGGUUUUGAUGCCUAUGAUGGUGGACAAGGUGGGAAAGACUUCCUCUUCUUAAGACCCUUCACAUGCACCAGGGCUUUCUAACUGUUGGGGUAGAGCUGAAGACUUUUCCUGCUCAACCCAGCACUUUAACUGUGCCACUGCUGAAAGAAGCUUUCCACCAGCAGAAAGACCUAGUGCUCAAGGCCUGCCACUCAGAUUAUUUUGUCCCACAUGGUGUUCCCUUCAUGUGGUGCACUCCUCCCUCCUCUAGAGUACUGUGAGUGUUGUUGCUCCUCUGGGUCUAGCUACCCAGUGAAGCUGCAACACUCCAGGCUGGUGCUGGGGAAUGUUUGCAAGGGGUCCAGUGAUGUGACCUGUCUGAGGCAAUAUCUUUUGUGUAUGUGGGGUUUCUGGUGUUUUGAAAUAGUUCUACAAUGAACACUUGUUAGUUUUGUCAUCAGAAAUAAAUUCUUUCAGUGUAGUGCAAGUAAGUUCUAUGUUUUCAGGCAUUUCCUCAGCCUCUGUCUGCAAGUUAAUCUAAAAAUGUGAAGGAUGUUUGUAUUGGCAGAUUGAGAUGUGAAUUGUGCAUACAAAGGUAGGAAAAGGUAGAAAUUAUGUUAAUCCAAAUGUCUUUGUGGAAAAGUAAUAACCUGUGGCAUGAGACAUGCCUUCAAAGUUAAUUAGGUAAUUAUUAGCCUAAAGAAGCAAAAGGUCAAAGUUGAAUAGUUUUAGCGAUAAAGCUUAAAAGAUUCAUUAACAGAAAAUGAACACAGGAAGUUCCAGAACUAACUAUGAAUCCCUGGUUCUUAUAACUAAAAAGGUCAUCUUCUGAUCGUUUUAACUAAUGUUCCUCCAUCCAAAAUAAUGAGGAAGACAAUUUUGCUCUGCUCCCCAACGCAUGUAAAUAACAUAAUGUCAGAGUGAAGAGGUUAAAAAUUAACAUUUUCUAGUUGCAUUUAGUGAAAAUGUUUAAUUUUCAAAAUCAGUGAAACAAAGGUAGAAUGCAUAAGAAUUUGAAACCAAUUGGAAAGGAGAGUUCUGUCAAAGUCAAUACUGAAUCCUCUGGUUGACUGAAGAAUGGUAGUGCCGAUAACAAAAAUUCAUAAUAGCAUUUCAGAGACAGAAAGAGAGAGAGAAGUGCCACAAGGCAGAGACCGUUUCAAGAGAAGAAACGCUGACUUUUGUUUGGUUUGUGUUAAGAAUGCCCACAUAGAAAUACACAAAAGGUGGCCAGGUUCGGUGGCUCACCCCUGUAAUCCCAGUGAGGCAUGAGAAUAGGGUUUGGAGACAGGGAACAUAAGGACUUCCUAGAACUAAAUCACAUGGAAACAUUACAGCUAUGACAGGAAAUAUCCUCUCCAUUUAUGUAGGGAAUAGGCCAAAUACAUGACUUUGUAACUUUACUUCAUCCUCUUCAUUUACAUAGGGUGUACACCAAGUAACCAAUGGAAACAUCUAGAGGGUAUUUAAACCCCCAAAAAAAAUCUGUAACAGGGCCCUUGAGCCCGUAUUCUGAGGCCUGCUCCCACACUGUGGAGUGUACUUUCAUUUUCAAUAAAUCUCUGCUUUUGUUGCUUCAUUCUUUGCUUGCUUUGUUUGUGCGUUUUGUCCAAUUCUUUGUUCAAGACACCAAGAACCUGGACACCCUCCAGUGGUUAACAGCAGCACUUUGGGAGACCGAGGAAGGCAGAUCACUUGAAGCCAGAAGUUUAAGACCAGCCUGGUCAACAUAGCGAAACCCUGUUCCUGUGUUUGAAUAUUGACCUGGAAGACUUUGAAUCUUGAAACUCUUUGAGCUUCAUCGUUCUUCUGAGCCUCUGCUAUGUGGCAACGUAUGGUUGAAUUGCAAGGCAAAUGAUCCUACACAAUCUCCUGCAUUCCUUAAAUAGUUCAUUUGACCUUCAUUCCUUGAAGAUCUUCAUCAAAGCCAGCAGCAUAGCAUCUUCCAGUCUCUUUCAGACUCGGACCCUCUUGCCUCUCUCUUAUAACAGCCUUGUGAUUGCACUGGGCUCACGUGGAUAAUCCAAGAUAAUCUUUCCAUCUCAAGAUCCUUAACUUAAUCACAUCUGCAAAAUCCCUUUUGCCAUGCAAGGUAACAUAUUUACAAGUAUAGGGGAUUAGCUCAUGGACACCUUUGGGAGGGAGGGGCAUUAAUCUCCUAUCACAAUUGUGGACUCGCAUUUUGCUUUGGUUAAAAUACUCUCCCAAUUUGGAAGCUACUGAGCAUGUUGAUGCUAAAAUUAAUAUUCCAACCUCUAGGCAAAAUAUUUCUCAACUGCAUGGAAAGGGCUCACAUGGAUGAUGUAUUUUAUUUUGGACACUUGGUUGCAGUCUAAAUGAAAUUAAGUUGAAAGUGGUAGCCACUCUGUGGCUGAGAUGUGAUUAAAGGAGUGAGAUAAGACAAACACAGAAGAAUCCUGUACACACAAAAAUAGAUUCAGCCACAGCAAGCCCUGCUGGCAUGGUGAAAAGACAAUCUAUACAUAGACUAAAUGUAAAAUGAAAAUUCACACAGAAGUAGUAGCUAUCAUGUGUACUUGACCUCUCAGGUGAAAUAGAAGAAUUAAUAUAAAUCACACAAGACAUUUAAAAGUGUAUUCAGUCAAAACUUACAUGGGUUUAGGAAAUUAUUUUGUAAUGUGAAUGAGUGAUAUCCCAAAGUAUGUUCUCACCCCAAUGUCCAGGAAUUGUGGAUUUUAUUUGAAUAUGGAUAUCCGUGGCAUACAUCCAAGCAAAUGGAAACUCUCUGGAAGAAAUAAAACUAGACAUUUCUGUCCCUCUUAUCAUAGCAAAGAACUUCUGCUCUAAACAAAAGCCCUGAUAAUUCUUUUCAAAUAUCUGCAUUAGACAUGAUAACAGUCUAUACAAACAAUGAAUUAAUUGUAAGAUCUGCAUGCAAGGAUAGGAAUAUUUUAUUCUAAACUUGGCUAAGCCACUUUGGUAGAGGUAGGUCACUGUCUUCGUUACCUAUUGCUACAUAACAAAUUGCCCCCAAAACUUAGUGGCUUAAAUCAACAAACAUUUUUAUCUCACGGUUUCUAUGGAUUAAGAAUAUGGAAGCAACCUAGCUAGGUAGCAUCUCAUGACUCUGCAAUCAAGAUGUCAGCUAGAGCAGCUGCAGUCAUGUCAAGGCUCAUGUGACAAAGGGUCCACUUCCGAGCUCACUCAGUUGUUGGGAGAACUCAGAAGAUUUGCUUCUGACCUCUUUCCUGGGCUUCUCAGCAUGACUGUCCCAUGACGUGGACACUGACUUUCUCCAAAGAGAACCAUGCAAGAGAUGGCAAAAGCACAUUCAUGAUGGAAGCCACAGGUUUUUUUUAAUAACUUAAUCUCAGAAGUGACACCCAUCACUGCUACCACAUUCUACAGUUUAUUCUUGAACAAUAUGAGUUUGAACUGCAUGGAUUCACUUAUACAUGGAUUUUCUCCUGCCUCUAUCACCCCUAAGACAAGAAGACCAAAUCUUCCUUUUCAUUCUCCUCCUCAGCCUACUCAAUGUGAAGAUGACAAGGAUGAAGACCUUUAUGAUGCUCCACUUCCACUUAAUAAAUAGUAAA
rnacentral:lncRNA from 10 species